rnacentral:rRNA from 1 species
GACAGAGGGUGCAAACGUUGCUCGGAAUCACUGGGCGUAAAGGGCGUGUAGGCGGGCAGGUAAGUCGGGCGUGAAAUCCCUGAGCUCAGCUCAGGAACUGCACUCGAAACUACUUGUCUUGAGUACCGGAGAGGAAAGCGGAAUACCUGGUGUAGAGGUGAAAUUCGUAGAUAUCAGGUGGAACACCAGUGGCGAAGGCGGCUUUCUGGACGGUAACUGACGCUGAGACGCGAAAGCGUGGGGAGCAAACAGG